GUCUCAAAUCAAGCAAGAAGACCGCUGAACUUAAGCAUAUCAAUAAGCGGAGGAAAAGAAACCAACAGGGAUUCCCUUAGUAACGGCGAGUGAAGCGGGAACAGCUCAAUUUUGAAAUCUCACGGGUUUCCCGUGCGAAUUGUAGUUUCAAGAAGCGUUUUCGGGGGCGGCUUGGGUCCAAGUCCGUUGGAACGCGGUGCCAUAGAGGGUGAGAGCCCCGUUGGACCUGAUGUUCGCUCCUGUAUGAUACGUUUUCAAAGAGUCGGAUAGUUUGGGAAUGCUGUCCAAAAUGGGUGGUAAAUAUCAUCUAAAGCUAAAUACUGGCGAGAGACCGAUAGCGAACAAGUACCGUGAGGGAAAGAUGAAAAGAACUUUGAAAAGAGAGUUAAAUAGUACGUGAAAUUGUCAAAAGGGAAACGCUUGAAACCAGUAUUGGGUUUUGGAUAUCAGCCUCACGGUGCACUAUCCUUAAUCCGGGUCAACAUCGGUUUGGCUUGAAGUAAAAUGCACUUGGAAGGUGGCCUCCCCUCGGGGUGGUGUUACAGCCAAGUGUCAUGCUUUGGGCCGGACCGAGGACUGCAGCUGCCUUGGGGAAUUUGCCGCCUUGAAGCGAGCCGUUGCAAACAACUUGUUGAUUGCAAGGGUCAGUUAAAGCCCGGUAGAGUACCACUCUCAGCUUAGGAUGUUGACGAAAUGGUUUUAAACGACC
rnacentral:rRNA from 1 species